CCUUCUAGGAGCCAACAGGAAAAACAACUCCCAUUUCAGCAGCUUCCUUCUAUGAGCCAACAGGAAAAACGACUCCCAUUUCAGCAGCUUCCUUCUAGGAGCCAACAGGAAAAACGACUCCCAUUUCAACAGCUUCCUUCUAUGAGCCAACAGGAAAAAUACUCCCAUUUCAGCAGCUUCCUUCUAUGAGCCAACAGGGGGAAAAAGAUCUACAGCAGUGGUCACCAACCAUUUUUCUGAGUCCAGAUCACUUUCUCGAGUCAAAAUGCAAGCCGAUGAUCUACCGCUGAGAUUUAUUUUAUAAACAUGACUUUAAAAAACAUAAGUCUAUGCAACAUUAACCAAUUAUAAACAGUUCUGGAGCAAUGAGGUUUGUGCAGUAGGCUAUAGGCCCAGUACAUUAUCACUGCAUAUUGGCUAAACUCCAAUGAGGUUUGUGCAGUAGGCUAUAGGCCCAGUACAUUAUCACUGCAUAUUGGCUAAACUCCAAUGAGGUUUGUGCAGUAGGCUAUAGGCCCAGUACAUUAUCACUGCAUAUUGGCUAAACUCCAAUGAGGUUUGUGCAGUUGGCUAUAGGCCCAGUACAUUAUCACUGCAUAUUGGCUAAACUCCAAUGAGGUUUGUGCAGUUGGCUAUAGGCCCAGUACAUUAUCACUGCAUAUUGGCUAAACUCCAAUGAGGUUUGUGCAGUUGGCUAUAGGCCCAGUACAUUAUCACUGCAUAUUGGCUAAACUCCAAUGAGGUUUGUGCAGUAGGCUAUAGGCCCAGUACAUUAUCACUGCAUAUUGGCUAAACUCCAAUGAGGUUUGUGCAGUAGGCUAUAGGCCCAGUACAUUAUCACUACAUAUUGGCUAAACUCCAAUGAGGUUUGUGCAGUAGGCUAUAGGCCCAGUACAUUAUCACUACAUAUUGGCUAAACUCCAAUGAGGUUUGUGCAGUAGGCUAUAGGCCCAGUACAUUAUCACUGCAUAUUGGCUAAACUCCAAUGAGGUUUGUGCAGUUGGCUAUAGGCCCAGUACAUUAUCACUGCAUAUUGGCUAAACUCCAAUGAGGUUUGUGCAGUAGGCUAUAGGCCCAGUACAUUAUCACUACAUAUUGGCUAAACUCCAAUGAGGUUUGUGCAGUAGGCUAUAGGCCCAGUACAUUAUCACUACAUAUUGGCUAAACUCCAAUGAGGUUUGUGCAGUAGGCUAUAGGCCCAGUACAUUAUCACUGCAUAUUGGCUAAACUCCAAUGAGGUUUGUGCAGUAGGCUAUAGGCCCAGUACAUUAUCACUGCAUAUUGGCUAAACUCCAAUGAGGUUUGUGCAGUAGGCUAUAGGCCCAGUACAUUAUCACUACAUAUUGGCUAAACUCCAAUGAGGUUUGUGCAGUAGGCUAUAGGCCCAGUACAUUAUCACUACAUAUUGGCUAAACUCCAAUGAGGUUUGUGCAGUAGGCUAUAGGCCCAGUACAUUAUCACUGCAUAUUGGCUAAACUCCAAUGAGGUUUGUGCAGUUGGCUAUAGGCCCAGUACAUUAUCACUGCAUAUUGGCUAAACUCCAAUGAGGUUUGUGCAGUAGGCUAUAGGCCCAGUACAUUAUCACUACAUAUUGGCUAAACUCCAAUGAGGUUUGUGCAGUAGGCUAUAGGCCCAGUACAUUAUCACUACAUAUUGGCUAAACUCCAAUGAGGUUUGUGCAGUAGGCUAUAGGCCCAGUACAUUAUCACUGCAUAUUGGCUAAACUCCAAUGAGGUUUGUGCAGUAGGCUAUAGGCCCAGUACAUUAUCACUGCAUAUUGGCUAAGC